rnacentral:rRNA from 1 species
GAUGAACGCUGGCGGCGUGCCUAACACAUGCAAGUCGAGCGUGAACCCUGCGAAUGAAACUUCGGUCGAUUUUGCAGGGGGAAAGCGGCAGACGGGUGAGUAACGCGUAGGUAACCUGCCCCAUACUGAGGGAUAGCCUCGGGAAACCGGGAUUAAUACCUCAUAACACCGUAUAUUCGCAUGGAUGUGCGGUCAAAGAUUUAUCGGUAUGGGAUGGGCCUGCGUCUGAUUAGCUGGUUGGUGGGGUAACGGCCUACCAAGGCGACGAUCAGUAGCCGACCUGAGAGGGUGAUCGGCCACAUUGGAACUGAGACACGGUCCAAACUCCUACGGGAGGCAGCAGUGGGGAAUAUUGGGCAAUGGGGGAAACCCUGACCCAGCCAUGCCGCGUGCAGGAUGAAGGCCUUCGGUUGGUAACUAGCUUUUGUUACGGUAACGAAAAGGUACCGUUUACUUAAUAAAGAAGGGACGUCAUGACGGUACCGGUAAGAAUAAGACACCGGCUAACUACGUGCCAGCAGCCGCGGU